rnacentral:rRNA from 1 species
UUGACCUCAAAUCGAGUAGGACUACCCGCUGAACUUAAGCAUAUCAAUAAGCGGAGGAAAAGAAACUAACAAGGAUUCCCCUAGUAACGGCGAGUGAAGAGGGAAGAGCUCAAAUUUUGAAUCUGGCGUCUUUGGCGUCCGAAUUGUAAUCUAGAGAAGUGUUUUCCGUGAUGGACUGUGCACAAGUCUCCUGGAAUGGAGCGUCAUAGAGGGUGAGAAUCCCGUAUAUKGCACAGACUCCCGUUGCCCUGUGAUACACUCUCGACGAGUCGAGUUGUUUGGGAAUGCAGCUCUAAAUGGGUGGUAAAUGCCAUCUAAAGCUAAUAUUGGCGAGAGACCGAUAGCGAACCAGUACCGUGAGGGAAAGAUGAAAAGCACUU